UUUGGAUUGCUAGGCUUAGGAUUUCCAGACAACACCCAAGCCAUCACUGUAGCUCUAUUGCAGAAAGAAAAGAGUCUAGCAAGAGAACUCUAUGCAAGCAAAAGGAUUAAACCAACUAAGGAUGACCUCUAGGAAGUUUUUAAAGCUCCAACCAAAAACUAAUACAAAUGGGGGUAUCUACACUAUUGAAAAACCUAAACAGAGGGAAUUGGAGCCAAGGAGAGGAAAAGGCAGAGCCAAGACUUCACAGUGCAAGAAUCCAUGGAAACAGAAUAUGGAAGAUGGAGAUCCUGUGCAAUAAUCUCAAUCCAUAAAGAGAAGAGGAAUGCUUCAGUGUCCCCUGGCCCUCCAAUGCUCUGUAUGACUUGCAAGGAAUGAAUAAGGAACUCAGGUGGGCUUAUAUGUUAAGAAUCUGGUUACCCACAUAAAACAUGAGGCAGAAGGUACCCACUUUUCCCUCUUAUACUUAGUUCACAUAUUUCUAUAAUACCAAUGCAUGAUCACAGCCAGCUGCCAUGUAUAAAAUGUCUUAUACACUGCUUACUACAGCUCAGUUUAUGUGCAUGUUUCUUUACUCCUAAUAAAAAUAUUUUG
rnacentral:lncRNA from 11 species